CGUUACUACUGCCUUAGUCAACUUCCUUCUGUCAAUUCAAAGCCUUCAUGCUUUGCUCAUUUAUCUCUGCUAUGCUCCUUAUCCAUCAAGCACUCUCAGGAAUCGUCUUCUGACCUUGCUGUUCUUCUCAAAGUUGACGGGGUUCUUAUGGAUGCAUACCGAGUGGGUAAUAGAUUAGCAUUCAAUAAAGUAUGAUAAGGAAGCUUUAUUAAGAUCAGAUCUUGCUCUCAAGUCAAACAAGGCAUAACCUGAGUUUUUCUACAAACAGCUAACAGCUAGUGAUACGAGCACACAUGGAGGUUUCUCUGUGCCUCUUGAAAGCAUAAUUAUUAUUUCAGGCAGUUGAAUAAAAUUUUCAGGUUUUGAUCUUUUCUAUGUUUUCAUGUAGGAUUAUUCUAUACAACCUCCUACACAAGAACUUGUGGCUAGGGAUUUGCAUGAUAAUGUUUGGAUAAUGUGCAGUCCUAUAUAUAAUCUAAAAUAGAAAAGCUAUUAGAAACUUGUUGAAGAUCUUUUUAUUUAUUCAUUAUGGUCAUCACCUUAACUAGGGCAACCAAAGCACCACUUGCUUACAAUUGGAUGGAGUCUAUUUGUUAGUGGAAAGAGGCUCUUUGCUGAAGACUCUACUUUAUUUUUACGGUGAUGACAUGAAAAGCAGCAGCUUCUUUUGAGCAUCAAGCGAGCUAACAGGCAACCAGCCAACAUAUCAUCCUCGAUAUUGUCAAGUUAUAGUAUGCAAAUUGGGAUUCUUGCGGCAGUUGCUCAUGCUACUGCAAAUAAUAGUCCCUUUACCAUAUUUUACAAUCCUAGGGCUAGUCCUUCAGAGUUUGUUAUUCUUUUAGCCAAGUACUACAAGGUAGUGUUUCUAUUCUCCUUUUCAGAGUUUGUGAGAUGGAAAAAUUCACAAUGGCAUAAUUUGCAGGUAUAAUUUCUAUUCUCCUUUUCUAAUUCAACAUUCUAAACUUUUUCAAUCUAUCAAUUGAUGGACCUGCACAAGUUGUAAAUAGUGUUUACCGGCUCACAUAUGAUUGGUCAGGUUAGUUGGGAUGAGUCUACUACUGGGGAUUGGAUUUUUUAACUGAGGGAGCUAAUUCCUUAGAAAAUAGUGUUAGCAUUUAAUUGGCCACUCAAACAUGGUAACCGUGUUAGAAUUCUUUGAUAUAAAGUGUGUUCAUUAUAAGGUGUAAUUAAUAGUGUAACUAAGGAGUGGAAAAAUUGGAUGAUUUUAUAGAAACAGGAAAAGUGAAAUAAAGAGGGAAGGAAUGAGGAAGAGAGUGAGUCACAUGGGGUGGGGUAACAAUAAAGACUUGAAUGAAAAUUUGUACAAAAUUUUACCUUUUUUAAGCUUUUUAUUUAUUAUGUGCUUGACAGUUUUAUAUUUAAUUAUUCUAUAUUCAUUUGGAUAUGAUAAAUAUGCAUCUUAUCUAAAAAUUUGCACAAAAUAAUGCAAAUAGUUCCUAUUUAUUUUGUUCUUCAUACUUUCAAAAACUAAUUGAAUGAAGAAUUUUCUGCUGGAUCUUUAUUUCAAUGUGAACUUGAGUUUCAAUUUCUAGCACUUCUCUUGGCCAUCCUUUCCCCGUAUGAGGCCAUGAGAUUUAGGGACACAAAAGAAGGUGCUAUCAUUUCAUUAUUGAUUGUAGUGUAUUUGGCUUACCAGCAUUUCUCAAGAACAAGUUUAUAGAAAUCACUUGAUCAAGGUUCAAUUGUUGCCACCAUAGCUAUUGUUUGU